UACAGGGGGGGGCAAGCGUUGUUCGGAAUUACUGGGCGUAAAGGGCUCGUAGGUGGCCAACUAAGUCAGACGUGAAACCCCUCAGCUUAACUGGGGAACUGCGUCUGAUACUGGAUGGCUUGAGUUUGGGAGAGGGACGCGGAAUUCCAGGUGUAGCGGUGAAAUGCGUAGAUAUCUGGAGGAACACCGGUGGCGAAGGCGGCGUCCUGGACCAACACUGACACUGAUGAGCGAAAGCCAGGGGAGCAAACGGG
rnacentral:rRNA from 1 species